rnacentral:rRNA from 1 species
UGUGAGUCCGACGAGUAGGGCGGGACACGUGGUAUCCUGUCUGAACAUGGGGGGACCAUCCUCCAAGGCUAAAUACUCCUGACUGACCGAUAGUGAACCAGUACCGUGAGGGAAAGGCGAAAAGAACCCCGGCGAGGGGAGUGAAACAGAACCUGAAACCGUGUACGUACAAGCAGUGGGAGCACCUUCGGGUGUGACUGCGUACCUUUUGUAUAAUGGGUCAGCGACUUAUAUUCUGUAGCAAGGUUAACCGCAUAGGGGAGCCGAAGGGAAACCGAGUCUUAACCGGGCGUUAAGUUGCAGGGUAUAGACCCGAAACCCGGUGAUCUAGCCAUGGGCAGGUUGAAGGUUGGGUAACACUAACUGGAGGACCGAACCGACUAAUGUUGAAAAAUUAGCGGAUGAC